rnacentral:rRNA from 1 species
UACGUAGGGUGCGAGCGUUGCCCGGAUUUAUUGGGCGUAAAGAGCGUGUAGGCGGCCACACAGGUCUGCUGUGAAAACUCGAGGCUCAACCUCGAGCUGUCGGUGGAAACCGUGUGGCUAGAGUCCGGAAGAGGAGAGUGGAAUUCCCGGUGUAGCGGUGAAAUGCGCAGAUAUCGGGAAGAACACCCGUGGCGAAGGCGGCUCUCUGGGACGGUACUGACGCUGAGACGCGAAAGCGUGGGGAGCGAACAGG